GAAAAACGUUUGGGAAAACUGGAUGAGCUUGGUGUGGUCCAUGAAGCGGAUCUUGCACUAGUUACAGAAGGAUGACAUUCUAAAGGCCAUAGAUGUGCACAAGUGUAGUACACAUUUUAUAAAAGCGACAUGUGAACAAAAAACCCUCCAGAAACUUUAUUCCCAUUUCAAGACUAGGAGAUUUAUCCAGUCCAGAGCGAAACUCAAGUCAAGAAGAGUACCUUGAUCUUCUAUCACAGAAGACAUUUUUUGCCAACACUUCCAGAGCAAAUGAGUCACUUGGACACAGAAGGAUUUCAGUCUAUGACAGUGGAAACAAUCCUGGUGAUGUCUACUGGAACAAGGUAGCUAAUCAAGUUAAAAAGUAUUUUCAGAAAGGGGAAUGACAACUACCUUCGUCAGAAAGAAUUAGCUGGUACGAUAUUGUUGAUGACUCUACGUAUAAAGAUUUGUAUUUAAAAUUUGUAAGUAGCUCUCAAUCAACAAUUAUGAUAUUGUUUUUAUGGGUGAGUCAGUACAACAUAGUGUAUUGCAGUUCUUU